UGGGCUGUGGCUCAGUGGUAGAGCACUCACUUAGCAAGUGUGAGGCUUUGGGUUUGAUCUCCAGCACUACAU
rnacentral:tRNA from 1 species